rnacentral:rRNA from 1 species
AUUGAACGCUGGCGGCAUGCCUUACACAUGCAAGUCGAACGGCAGCACGGGGGCAACCCUGGUGGCGAGUGGCGAACGGGUGAGUAAUAUAUCGGAACGUACCUUUGGGUGGGGGAUAACGUAGCGAAAGUUACGCUAAUACCGCAUACGAUCUACGGAUGAAAGCAGGGGACCGCAAGGCCUUGCGCUCAUAGAGCGGCCGAUAUCUGAUUAGCUAGUUGGUAGGGUAAAAGCCACCAAGGCAUCGAUCAGUAGCUGGUCUGAGAGGACGACCAGCCACACUGGGACUGAGACACGGCCCAGACUCCUACGGGAGGCAGCAGUGGGGAAUUUUGGACAAUGGGGGCAACCCUGAUCCAGCAAUGCCGCGUGAGUGAAGAAGGCCU